GACGAACGCUGGCGGCGUGCCUAACACAUGCAAGUCGAGCGGUAGAGAGGAGCUUGCUUCUCUUGAGAGCGGCGGACGGGUGAGUAAUGCCUAGGAAUCUGCCUGGUAGUGGGGGAUAACGUUCGGAAACGGACGCUAAUACCGCAUACGUCCUACGGGAGAAAGUGGGGGAUCUUCGGACCUCACGCUAUCAGAUGAGCCUAGGUCGGAUUAGCUAGUUGGUGAGGUAAAGGCUCACCAAGGCGACGAUCCGUAACUGGUCUGAGAGGAUGAUCAGUCACACUGGAACUGAGACACGGUCCAGAUUCCUACGGGAGGCAGCAGUGGGGAAUAUUGGACAAUGGGCGCAAGCCUGAUCCAGCCAUGCCGCGUGUGUGAAGAAGGUCUUCGGAUUGUAAAGCACUUUAAGUUGGGAGGAAGGUCAGUAGCUUAAUACGUUGCUGAUUUGACGUUACCGACAGAAUAAGCACCGGCUAACUCUGUGCCAGCAGCCGCGGUAAUAC
rnacentral:rRNA from 1 species